ACAAGCGGCGGAGCAUGCGGAUUAAUUCGAUGCAACGCGAAGACUUACCAAGGCUUGACAUACACCGGUAACGCCCAGAGAUGGGUGCCCCUUUGUGGUCGGUGGACAGGUGGUGCAUGGUUGUCGUCAGCUCGUGUCGUGAGAUGUUGGGUUAAGUCCCGCAACGAGCGCAACCCUCGUCCUAUGUUGCCAGCGGGUCAUGCCGGGGACUCAUGGGAGACUGCCGGGGUCAACUCGGAGGAAGUGGGGAUGACGUCAAAUCAUCAUGCCCCUUAUGUCUUGGGCUUCACGCAUGCUACAAUGGCCGGUACAAAGGGCUGCGAUACCGCGAGGUGGAGCGAAUCCCAGAAAGCCGGUCUCAGUUCGGAUUGGGGUCUGCAACUCGACCCCAUGAAGUCGGAGUCGCUAGUAAUCGCAGAUCAGCAACGCUGCGGUGAAUACGUUCCCGGGCCUU
rnacentral:rRNA from 1 species